rnacentral:rRNA from 1 species
AUGAUUUCCUCGCAGUCCGCCAGACGCAUCAACAACAUCCAAACCUCCCUCAUCAACGCCCAGAAGGGCAACCUCUCCGUCGCCUCCUACUUUGCCGCCAUGCAUGGCUACACCAACGAGCUAGCAGCUGCAGGCAAGGCGAUCCCUGACGACGAACUUUCCUCCUACAUCAUCCACGGGCUCGACACCGACUAUCAGCCCCCAGUCUCUGCCCUAGAUGCCUGUGUGACUCAGGUAACCCUUGAUGAGCUCUUUGCCAUGCUAUCCAAUUGCGAUCAGCGCAUGGCUCAGUUCCAAGGAUCUGGCGGCAGCAACUUCAAAUCGUCCGCCAACGUGGCCACUCGCGGGCGGGGCGGCGGCUCUCGAUCGCGUGGCUCCUCUCGCAACAAGGGCAGGUCCGGCGGUGACAGAAACCGCCCGGACGCUCCUCGGUGCCAGAUCUGUGGCAAGCCUGGCACACAACGAAGGACUGCCGGUAUAGGUAGGAGGAGGAGGACUACAAAUUCCCUGCGGCGGCCGAUGGCCCUAUGGUGUCGACACAAAUUGGUACGUCGAUAG